GACGAACGCUGGCGGCGUGCUUAACACAUGCAAGUCGAACGCUGAAGCUUGGUGCUUGCACUGGGUGGAUGAGUGGCGAACGGGUGAGUAAUACGUGAGUAACCUGCCCUUGACUCUGGGAUAAGCCUGGGAAACUGGGUCUAAUACUGGAUAUGACAUGCCACUGCAUGGUGGUGUGUGGAAAGGGUUUUACUGGUUUUGGAUGGGCUCACGGCCUAUCAGCUUGUUGGUGGGGUAAUGGCCUACCAAGGCGACGACGGGUAGCCGGCCUGAGAGGGUGACCGGCCACACUGGGACUGAGACACGGCCCAGACUCCUACGGGAGGCAGCAGUGGGGAAUAUUGCACAAUGGGCGGAAGCCUGAUGCUGCGACGCCGCGUGAGGGAUGACGGCCUUCGGGUUGUAAACCUCUUUCAGCACGGAAGAAGCGAGAGUGACGGUACGUGCAGAAGAAGCGCCGGCUAACUACGUG
rnacentral:rRNA from 1 species